AAGGCUUUAACUCAAUUAAAGUGUUUGAGUUGCAUUCAUAACAUAUAGGAUAGAGUCCCGUAGGUCUUA
rnacentral:tRNA from 1 species